rnacentral:rRNA from 1 species
GAAGAAACCCCUUCGGGGGUGGACAGUGCCGAAAGGGCGAGUAANGCGUAUNUAACGUGCCCCCCGAGUCGAGGAUAGCAGAGGGAAACUUNUGGUAAUACCCGAUGACCCCGGUAGUCCCGCAUGGACGGCCGGGCAAAGAUUUAUCGCUCAGGGAUCGGGAUACGUCCUAUCAGCUUGUUGGUGAGGUAACGGCUCACCAAGGCGAAGACGGGUAGCGGGUGUGAGAGCAUGACCCGCCGCAUCGGGACUGAGACACUGUCCGGACUCCUACGGGAGGCUGCAGUAACGAAUAUUCCGCAAUGCGCGAAAGCGUGACGGAGCAAUGCCGCGUGCAGGACGAAGCCCCUCGGGGUGUAAACUGCUGUCAGGGUUUAGGAAUUCAUGACCAGACCCAAAGGAAGGACCGGCUAACUCUGUGCCAGCAGCCGCGGUAAUACAGAGGGUCCAAGCGUUGAUCGGAAUCACUGGGCUUAAAGGGUGCGCAGGCGGCGUCGCAAGUACGUUGUGAAAUCCCACGGCUUAACCGUGGAACUGCUUCGUAGACUGCGAUGCUUGAGCAUAACAGGGGCAACCGGAACUCUAGGUGGAGCGGUGGAAUGCGUAGAUAUCUAGAGGAACGCCAAACGGGAAGCCAGGUUGCUGGGUUAUUGCUGACGCUCAGGCACGAAAGCGUGGGUAGCGAACGGGAUUAGAUACCCCGGUAGUCCACGCCCUAAACGAUGUACACUAGGUGGCGGAUGCUUUGACGUAAUCGCCGCCGAAGCCAAAGUGUUAAGUGUACCGCCUGGGGAGUACGGUCGCAAGGCUAAAACUCAAA